rnacentral:rRNA from 1 species
UACGAAGGGGGCUAGCGAUGCUCGGAAUCACUGGGCGUAAAGGGUGCGUAGGCGGGUCUUUAAGUCCGGGGUGAAAUCCUGGAGCUCAACUCCAGAACUGCCUUUGAUACUGAGGAUCUUGAGUUCGGGAGAGGUGAGUGGAACUGCGAGUGUAGAGGUGAAAUUCGUAGAUAUUCGCAAGAACACCAGUGGCGAAGGCGGCUCACUGGCCCGAUACUGACGCUGAGGCACGAAAGCGUGGGGAUCAAACAGG